UACGGAGGGUGCAAGCGUUAUCCGGAUUCACUGGGUUUAAAGGGUGCGUAGGUGGGCUGGUAAGUCAGUGGUGAAAUCUCCGGGCUUAACUCGGAAACUGCCGUUGAUACUAUCAGUCUUGAAUGUUGUGGAGGUAAGCGGAAUAUGUCAUGUAGCGGUGAAAUGCUUAGAUAUGACAUAGGACACCGAUAGCGAAGGCAGCUUGCUACACAAUAAUUGACACUGAGGCACGAAAGCGUGGGGAUCAAACAGG
rnacentral:rRNA from 1 species